rnacentral:rRNA from 1 species
UGGGGAAUUUGGACAAUGGGCGAAGCCUGAUCCAGCAAUGCCGCGUGUGUGAAGAAGGCCUUCGGGUUGUAAAGCACUUUUGUCCGGAAAGAAAUCCUUGGCUCUAAUACAGUCGGGGGAUGACGGUACCGGAAGAAUAAGCACCGGCUAACUACGUGCCAGCAGCCGCGGUAAUACGUAGGGUGCAAGCGUUAAUCGGAAUUACUGGGCGUAAAGCGUGCGCAGGCGGUUUGCUAAGACCGAUGUGAAAUCCCCGGGCUCAACCUGGGAACUGCAUUGGUGACUGGCAGGGCUAGAGUAUGGCAGGAGGGGGGUAGAAUUCCACGUGUAGCAGUGAAAUGCGUAGAGAUGUGGAGGAAUACCGAUGGCGAAGGCAGCCCCCUGGGCCAAUACUGACGCUCAUGCACGAAAAGGCGUGGGGGAGCAAACAGGAUUAGAUACCCCUGGUAGUCCACGCCCCUAAACGAUGUCAACUAGUUGUUGGGGAUUCAUUUCCUUAGUAACGUAGCUAACGCGUGAAGUUGACC